UUUCUGGGAGCCUGGGCAGUUCAGAACCCGGGGUGGGCUGCGCGGUGUGCUGGCCUUAAGGCUUGGGGGGUGUUGGUUUAUUCUCUGUGUGUGAAGCAGUGUUGGGCUUGGACUGUCGGGAGAAGGUCCGGAUGGGCUCGGACCUCCCGGCUACUGCCUCACCCCUAGGCCUUCUGAGUGUGUCUCGGCUGGAGGCGGUAUCCAGUGCGGACAAGUGUGAGGGAGGCGAAGUACAACGACACCUGGGGCUGACCACGCACAGGUAGAGUUCUCUGCUACCAGUGAUGUUCAGAUAAACAUCAGUGAAAUGACUCUUCAGGAAUUGGUGCAUCAGGCUGCCUCCCUUUAUUCGGAUAAAAUAGCUGUAUGUUUUGAUGAAUGUAACAACCAGCCUCCAGUUUAUUACACCUACAAGACUGUGGUUAAUGCUGCUUCAGAAUUAUCAGAUUUUCUGCUGUUACACUGUGACUUUCAAGGAAUUCAGGAAAUUGGUCUCUACUGCCAUCCUGGGAUAAACUUACCCUCUUGGAUUUUGGGAAUUCUCCAAGUCCCUGCUGCUUAUGCGCCUGUUGAUCCAGAUUCACCACCAGCAUUAUCAAUUCAUUUUAUGAAAAAAUGUAAUCUAAAGUAUAUCCUUGUUGAAAAACAGCAAAUUAAUAAAUUCAGAUCUUCCUAUGAAACAUUAUUGAACUGUGAUAUGUUUACAGUAGAACAUAAUGACCUAGUACUCUUCAGACUUCACUGGAAAAAUGUUGAGGUGAACUUGAUACUAAAUGACAGAAAAGAGAAAUAUGAAAAAGAAAAAAUGACAAAGAGCAUGAAUUCUGAGAACAGCAGUGAAGAAAAGUCAGAAGAGCACAUGGAUGUGAGGCUAAAGCAUUGCUUGGCCUAUGUUCUCCAUACAUCAGGCACUACAGGGACACCUAAGGUUGUCAGAGUCCCUCAUACAUGUAUAGUGCCAAACAUCCAACACUUUCGGGUGCUUUUUGAAAUCACUCCGGAAGAUGUUUUGUUUCUGGCUUCACCUCUGACCUUUGAUCCUUCUGUUGUGGAAAUAUUUGUUGCUCUGUCAAGUGGUGCCUCUCUGCUUAUUGUACCGACUUCUGUCAAAGUGCUCCCGUCAAAAUUAGCUGCUGUUCUUUUUUCCCAUCACAGAGUGACUAUUUUGCAGGCAACACCAACAUUGCUUAGAAGAUUUGGAUCUCAGCUUAUCAAGUCAACUGUUUUAUCAACCAAUACUUCUCUUCGAGUAUUGGCCCUUGGUGGCGAAGCAUUUCCAUCAUUAACCGUUCUCAAAAGCUGGAGAGGAGUAGGCAAUAAAACACAAAUAUUUAAUGUUUAUGGUAUCACAGAGGUAUCAAGCUGGGCAACUUUUUACAGGAUUCCAGAGGAGAUUCUUAACUCUGCUUUGAAAUGUGAAUUGCCUGUACAACUGGGAUUUCCACUGCUUGGAACAGUAGUUGAAGUCAGAGAUACUAAUGGUUUCACAAUUCAAGAAGGCAAUGGCCAAGUAUUUUUAGGUGGCAGAAAUAGAGUAUGUUUCCUCAAUGAUGAAAUGACAGUACCACUUGGCACAAUGAGGGCCACAGGAGACUUUGUGACUAUAAAAGAUGGAGAGAUAUUUUUCUUGGGACGAAAGGACAGUCAGAUCAAACGUCAUGGCAAACGUCUUAACAUUGAACUUGUGCAGCAGGUUGCUGAAGGUCUUCAACAAGUGGAGUCUUGUGCAGUUACAUGGUAUAAUCAGGAGAAAUUAAUUCUGUUCAUGGUGUCCAAAAAUGAUUUAGUAAAGGAUUACAUCUUUAAAGAACUGCAGAAACAGCUUCCAAGUCAUGCAAUCCCAGAUGAGCUCGUGUUGAUUGAUUCUCUACCAUUUACAUCUCAUGGCAAAAUUGAUGUUUCUGAGUUAAAUAAGAUUUAUUUAAAUUACAUGGACUUGAAGUCUGAGUGUAAGCUCAAUGGAAAAGAGGAACUUUGGGAAAAAUUACAGCAUUUGUGGAAGUCUGUUCUGAGUCUCUCAGAAGAUCCUUUGAAAGUUCCUGACGAGUCACUCUUCUUAAAUAGUGGUGGAGAUUCCUUGAAGUCCAUACGGCUCCUCAGUGAGAUUGAAAACCUUGUUGGCACAUCAGUACCUGGGCUUCUGGAAAUUAUUCUUAGCAGUUCUAUUUUAGAGAUUUACAGACACAUCCUUCAAAGAGUGUUUCCAGAUGAAGAUAUGACAUUUAGCAAGAAUAAUGCCACAAAAAGAAAAUUCAGUGGUAUUAAUCAAGAGGAAACCAGUGGAAAAUCUUUACAUCAGGAAUCUGUCAUGCCUUUAAAUUGUGACAACGAGAUCAAUGCUUUUAUUGCACUGAGCAGAGGGAGUCAGAUUUUGUCUCUGAAUACUACUAGGUUUUUAACUAAGUUGGGACAUUGCCCUUCAGCCCGUCCUUCUGAUUUAAUAUCACAGACUGACACUCAAAAUGUGAAAAGUUUAAAUCUUCCAGCUCUUAUUGGGAAGUCAAAAGAUCCGUCCUGUGUUGCAAAAGUUUCUGAAGAGGAAACAUCUGUGAUGGGGACUGAGAAAAUGGAGUUUUGUGUGAGGUGGAGGGCAGACACAGGCAAAUGUGUGGAUGCUUCACCUCUGGUUGUAAUACCAGCUGUUGAUAAGUCAUCUGCAACUGUGUACAUUGGCUCCCAUUCUCAUAGAAUGAUGGCAGUUGAUCUUUACUCUGGAAAGAUGAAAUGGGAACAGAUUUUGGGAGAUCGCAUUGAAUCCUCAGCAUGUGUAUCUAAGUGUGGGAACUUUAUUGUAGUGGGCUGUUAUAAUGGGUUAGUUUAUGUUCUGAACAGUAAUAGUGGAGAAAAAUACUGGAUGUUUACUACUGAGGAUGCUGUCAAAAGCUCAGCAACCAUGGAUCCAACCACAGGACUUCUUUACAUUGGAUCUCAUGACCAGCAUGCAUAUGCUUUAGAUAUAUAUAAUAAGAAGUGUGUUUGGAAGUUGAAAUGCGGAGGAACUGUUUUUUCUUCUCCUUGUUUGAGCCUGAUUCCGUAUCACUUGUAUUUUGCUACACUAGGAGGACUUUUACUGGCUAUAAAUCCUGCCACUGGGAACAGAGUUUGGAAACAGUCCUGUGGAAAGCCACUCUUUUCUUCUCCACAGUGUUGCCUACAAUAUAUUUGUAUUGGCUGUGUAGAUGGGAAUUUACUUUGCUUUACUCACUUUGGAGAACAGGUUUGGCAAUUCUCUACCAGUGAACCAAUCUUUUCAUCCCCAUGUACCUCAGCAUCAGAGCAAGAAAUAUUUUUUGGUUCCCAUGAUUGCUUUAUCUACUGUUGUAGUCUGAGAGGUCACCUCCAGUGGAAAUUUGAAACUACUUCAAGGGUGUAUUCAACACCAUUUGCUUUCCAUAACCACAACCGUGGCAAUGAAAUGUUGGCAGCAGCAUCUACUGAUGGGAAACUGUGGAUCUUGGAAUCUAAGAGCGGACAGUUGCAAAGUGUGUAUCAACUUCCUGGAGAAGUUUUCUCUUCUCCUGUGGUCUGGGAAUCAAUGCUUAUUAUUGGAUGUAGAAAUAAUUAUGUUUAUUGUCUGGAUUUAUUGGGUGGCAAUCAAGGAUAAUGAAAUAUAGUCCUUAAUAGAAUAUAUCUGUGACAUGUUUGAAAAUAUAAAGACCUCGGGAAAAGAAGAUCAGAAUAUACUUGGUCGGUUAAAAACUUAGUCUGUGAUGUAAUACACCAUUUACUCAUCUAUGCUGAGAUUCAUAACAAAAGGUUUUCAAAGAUAGGCUCUAUUUGUUAAAUGUUUCCUUAAUUUAAUAUUUUUAAAUGAACAAAGUACCAAUAUAGAAUAAUAUAUCUACAAUGUAUAGUUUCAAGUUGAUAUACCUUCUUUUCUCAAUUUUUUUUUUUAAUAAAUGUGUCACCUGCUCAGCUGUAUCUACUGCUGUAUAUAGCACAUGAUUUCCUCUCUUUCAGUAACACAUUUUCUUAGCAUUCUUUUUUCAUAUUUAUUUAUUUAUUUAUUUGGCUGCACUGGGUCUUAGUUGCAGCACAUGGGAUAUUUGUUGUGGCAUGGGGGAUCUUUUAGUUGCAGCAUGUGGGAAUCUUUAGUUGCAGCAUAUGAACUCUUAGUUGCAGCAUGUGAGAUCUAGUUCCCUGACUAGUGAUUGAACCCAGGCCCCUUGCAUUGGGAGUGCAGAAUCUUAACCACUGGACCACCAGGGGAGUCCCCUCAAUUUUUGAUAUAUGAACUUUGAUGGCUAAUAUUUUUGCACCUAUAUUUUUCAAUUUAUUAGAUUUUGCUGCUGUAACAACUCUUUUUUAUUGUUCAGUGUCUUGAAGGUAGGGAAGCACAGCAAAAGUCAGGGAAGAAGAAAACCUUUGUACUUUUUAAGUGUCAUGAUUUCUCAUACUUAAUGCUGCUCUUUCAGUCCCAUAGCACUUUGCUUCUACCUCCAUUUUGCCUAGUAGUAAGUUGCCCCCAGUGAGCUGUACCUCCUCUGGGAGCCAUGCCCGUUAUGCAGCUCCCUUCUCUGACACCUGGGCUUGGCCUAUCAGUUGCUUUAACCAACAGAAUGCAGUGAUGGUGACACUAUGCCACUUCUGAGCCUAAAUUUUAAGAAGGCCUGGCAGCUUCUGCUUUUAUAGCUAUGGGAGUCCUGAGCUGCUACAUCAGUCUGGCUGCCUACUGGAGAAGCCAUGUGGUUAGGGAGCUAUGAGCUAAGACUACACUGAGAAGAACCAAGGUAGCCCGUGAACAGUGACAGCCAAAGAUCUGGCCCCCAGCAUUCCAGUCAAUUCCAGCUAUAUAGUCUGUAACUAACCUUUCCCCUAAUUGUACUGUCAACUGUAGUAUCAUUUCAUUUGUUAAUUUUUCACCAGUAAUUAGAUAAUUAGAAAUCUCAGUUAUCAAACAUGCCAGAGUUCUUGGUCGCAAGUAAUAGAAGGCCAUUUGGGCUAUUUUAUUUAAAUAAAUAAUUUGGAGAAUUUAUUUUUAUUUCUUAAUUGAAGUAUAGUUGAUGUACAAUAUUAUGUAAGUUACAACAUAGUGAUUCACAAUUUUUAAAGGUUAUACUCCAUUUAUUAUUAUAAAAUGUUGGCUAUAUUCCGUGUGUUAUACAGUGUAUCCUUAUAGCUUAUUUAUUUUAUACAUAAUGGUUUGUCCCUCUUAAUCCCUUACCACUAUCUUGCCCCUCCUCCCUUCCCUCUCACCACUGGUAACCACUAAUUUGUCCUCUAUAUCUGUGAGUCUGAUUCUUUUUUGUUAUAUCCACUAGUUUGUUGUAUAUUUUAGAUUCCACAUAUAAGUGAUAUCUUACGUCUUUCUCUGACUCAUUUCAUUUAGCAUAAUACUCUCCAAGUCCAUCCAUGUUGUUGCAAAUGGCAGAAUUUCAUUCUUUUUAUAGCUGAAUAGUAUUCCAUUAUAUACAUAUACCACAUCCUCUUUAUCUGUUCAUCUGCUGAUGGACACUUAAGUUGCUUCCAUAUCUUAGCAAUUAUAAAUAAUGCUGCUAUGAAUAUUGGGGUGCAUAUAUUUUUUUGAACUAGUGUUUGUUUGUUUGUUUUUGGAUAUUAUAUCCAGGAGUGGAAUUGCUGAGUCAUAUGGUAGUUCUAUUUUUAGUUUUUUGAGAAAUCUCCAUACUGUUUUCCACAGUGGCUGCACCAGUUUACAUUCCCAACAGGGUAAGAGGGUUCCCUUUUGUCUACAUCCUUGCCAACAUUUGUUGUUUGUGUUCUUUUUGAUGAUAACCAUUCUGACCUGUGUGAGGUGAUAUCUCAUUGUGGUUUUUAUUUGCAUUUCCCUGAUUAGUGAUGUUGAGGAUCUUUUCAUGAGCCUGUUGGCCACCUGCAUGUUCUCUUUGGAAGAAUGUCUCUUCGGAUCUUCUGCCCAGUUUUCAAUCAGGUUGUUUGCUUUUUUGAUGUUGCAUUGUAUGAGCUGUUUUUAUAUAUUGGAUAUUCACCCCAAGUUGGUCAUAUCUUUUGCAAAAAUUUCCUCCCAUUCAGUAGGUUGUCUUUUCAUUUUGUCUAUGGUUUCCUUUGCUGUGCAAAAGUUUUUAAGCUUAAUUAGGUCCCAUUUGUUUAUUUUUGCUUCUAUUUCCUUUGCUUUAGGAGACAGAUCCAAAAAAAAUUGCUAUGAUUUGUGUCAAAGUGUUCUGCCUGUGUUUUCCUCUAAGAGUUUUAUGGUUUCCAGUCUUACAUUUAAAAUGUCUUUAAUCCAUUUUGAGUUUAUUUUUGUAUAUGCUGUUAGGAAAUGUUCUAAUUUCAUUCUUUUACAUGUAGCUGUCCAGUUUUCCCAGCAGCAGUUAUUGAAGAGACUUUUUUUGCUCCAUUUUGUAUUCUUGCUUCCUUUGUCGUAAAUUAAUUGACUGUAAAUGUGUGGGUUUGUUUCUGGGCUUUCUAUUCUGUUCCUUUGAUCUAUGUCUCUGUUUUCGUGCCAGUACCAUACUGUUUUGAUUGCUGUAGCUUUGUAUUAUAGUUUGAAGUCAGAGAGUGUGAUUCAUCCAGAAGAAAGCAUUCUGCUUUCUCAAGACUGUUUUGGCUAUUCAGGGUCUUUUGUGUUUCCAUACAAAUUUUAAAAUUAUCUGUGAAAAAUGCCCUUCGUAUUUUGAUAGAGACUGCAUUGAAUCUGUAGAUUUCCUUGGUAGUAUGAGCAUUUUAACAACAUUAAUUUUUCCAGCCCUGCAUAUGGUAUAUUUUUCCAGCUGUUUGUGUCAUCUUCAAUUUGUUUCAUCAGUGCCUUACAGUUUUCUGAAUACAGGUAUUUUACCUCCUUAAGGAGGUUUAUUCUUAGGUAUUUUAUUCCUUUUGAUGUAAGGUAAAUGGGAUUGUUUACUUAAUUUCUCUUUUUGAUGGUUCAUUGAUUGUGUAUAGAAAUGGAACAGAUUUCUGUAUGUUAAUUUGGUAUCAUGCAGCUUUACCAAAUUCAUUGAUGAGUUCUAGUAGUGUUCUGAUGGUGUCUUUAGGAUUUUCUAUGUAUAGUAUCAUGUCAUCUGCAAACAGUGACAGUUUUACUUCUUCCUUUCCAAUCUGGAUUUUUAUUUAUUUUCCUUAUUUGAUUGCUGUAGCUAGGACAUCCAAUACUAUGGUGAAUAAAAGUAGCUAGAGUGGGCAUCCUUGUCUUGUUCCUGAUAUUAGAGGAAAUCCUUUCAGCUUUUCACCCGUGAGUAUGAUGUUAGCUGUAGGUUUGUCAUAUAUGGACUUUAUUAUGUUGAGGUAUGUUACCGUUUUGCCCACUUUAUGGAGGGUUUUUAUCAUAAAUGGAUGUUGAAUUUUGUCAAAAGCUUUUUCUGCAUCUACUGAGAUAAUCAUAUGGUUUUUAUUCUUCAAAUUGUUAAUGUAGUGUAUCAUACUGAUUGAUUUAAAGAUGUUGAAAAGUCCUUGUAUCCUUGGGAUAAAUCCCACUUGAUCAUGUUUUAUGAUCCAUUUAAUGUAUUGUUGGAUUCAGUUUGCUAGUAUUUUGUUGAGGAUUUCUAUGUUUAUGUUUAUUAGUGAUAUUGGGCUGUAAUUUCCUUUUUGUGAUAUCUUUGUUUGGUUUUAGUAUCACAGUGAUGCUGGCUUCGUAGAAUGAGUUCAGAGGCAUUCCUUCCUCUGCAAUUUUUUUUUGGAAUAGUUGGAGAAAGUUGGGUGUUAACUCUUCUCUAAAUCAGGGGUCCCCAACCCCUGGGCCAUGGACUGGUACUGGUCCAUGGCCUGUUAGGAACUGGGCCACACAACAGGAAGAGAGUAGUGGGUGAGUGAGCGAAGCUUCAUCUGUCGCUCCCCAUCACUCACAUUACUUCCUGAACUGUUCCCCUUCGCCCCCAUCCAUGGAAAAAUUGUCUUCUGUGAAACCGGUCCCUAGUGCCAAAAAGGUUGGGGACUGCUUCUCUAAAUGGUUUGUUGAAUUCACUUGUAAAGCCAUCUGAUCCUGGACAUUUCUUUGUUGGGAAUUUUUUUAAAUACUGAUUUAAUUUCAUUACUGGUAAUUGAUCUGUUCAUAUUUUCUAUUUCUUCCUGGUUCAGUUUUGGGAGAUUGUACAUUUCUAGGAAUUUGUACGUUUCUUCUAGGUUGUCCAUUUUAUUAGCAUAUAGUUUUUUUGCAGUAGUCUCUUAGGAUCUUUUGUAUUUCUGUGGUGUCAGUUGUAACUUCUUUUUCAUUUCUGAUUUGGGCCCUCUCUUUUUCUUGAUGAGUCUGGCUAAAGGUUUAUCAAUUUUUUUAUCUUUUCAAAGAAGCAGCUUUUAGCUUCAUUGAUCUUUUUAUUGUUUUUUUAAGUCUCUUUCAUUUAUUUCUGCUCUGAUCUUUAUGAUUUCUUUCCUUAUACUAACCUUGGGUUUUGUUUGUUCUUUUUUUAGUUUAGAUGUAAGGCUAGGUUGUUUGAGAUUUUUCUCAUUUCCUGAGGUAAGCUUGUAUUGCCAUAAAACUUCUGCCUUAGAACUGCUUUUGCUGUGUCCCAUAGAUUUUGGAUUAUUGUUUUUCAUUUAUCUCCAAAUUAAAAAAAAUUUCCUCUGAUUUCUUCAGUAAUCUAUUGGUUUUCUAGUAGCAUAUUGUUUAGCUUCCAUAUGUUUGUGUUUUUGGAAAUUUUUUCUUGUAGUUGAUUUCUAGUCUUCUAGCAUUGUGGUCAGAAAAGAUGCUUGAUAUGAUUUAAAUUUUCUUAAAUUUACUGAGGCUUGUUUUGUGGCCUAGCAUGUGAUUUAUCCUAGAGAAUAUUCUGUGUGCACUUGAAAAGAAUGUAUUCUGCUGCUAUUGGGUGGAAUGUUCUAAGUGUAUCUACUAAGUCUGGUCUAAUUUAAGACCAGUAUUUCCUUACUGAUUUUCUGUCUGAAUGAUCUGUCCAUUGAUGUAAGUGGGGUAUAAAAGUCCCCUACUAUUCUUGUGUUACUGUUGAUCUCUCCCUUUAUGUCUGUUAGUGUUUGCUUUAUAUAUUUUGGAGCUCCUAUGUUGAUGCUUGUAUAUUGACAAUUGUUAUGUCUUCUUGAAUUGAUCCCUUGAUCAUUAUGUAGUGUCCUUUGUCUCUUCCAAAACCUUUAUUUUAAUGUCCAUUUUAUCAGAUAUAAGUAUUGCUACUCUAGCUUUAAUUUCCAUUUACAUGCAAUACCUUUUGCAUCUCUUCACUUUCAAUCUGUGUAUGUCUUUAGAUCUGAAGUGAGUCUCCUGUAGGCAGGAUAUAUAUGGGUCUUUUUCUUCUUCUUUCUUUUUUUUUUUUAAUUCAGCCACUCUGUCUUUUGAUUGGAGCAUUUAGUCCAUUUAUGUUUAAAGUAAUUAUAUGUGUGUUCUAAUUGCCAUUUUGUUAAUUAUUUGGAGGGGGGGAGGGUUGUAGGGUUUUUUGGUUCCUGCUUUUGUUCUCUUUUGAUUUGAUGACUAUCUUUAGUGUUGUGUUUGGAUUCCUUUUCUCUUCUUUUGUGUAUCCAUUAUAGUUUUGGCUUGUAGCUGCCGUGAAGUUUUUAUAUAGCAAUCUAUAUUUAUAUGUGAUUGUUGUAAGUUGUUGAUCUAAUUUCCAAUGCAUUUUAACAACCCUGCAUUUGUACUCUCUUCCCCUCACAAUUACUGUUUUUGAUAUAUUUUAUCUCUAAUUGUUUUGUGUAUCCCUUAACUGCUUAUUUUAGAAUAGAUGAUUUUACUACUGUUGUCAUUUAACCUCCUUACUAGCUUUGUGUGUGGAUGAUUUCCUACCUUUACUGUAUGUUUGCCUUUAACCAAUGAGCUUUUUCAUUUCAUUUUCUAGUUGUGGCCUUUUCUUUUUUGUUAAGAGAAGUUCCUUUAAUAAUAUUUCUUGUAAAGUUUGGUCGUACUGAACUCUUUUAGCUUUUGCUUGUCUGUAAAGAUUUUGAUCUUUCCCUCAAAUCUGAAUCAGAGCCUUGCUGGGUAGAGUAUCCUUGGUUAUAGGUUUUUUUCCUUUAAUCAUUUUAAACAUGUUGCCCUUCUGGCCUGCAGAGUUUCUGAAGUCAGCUGAUAGCCUUAUGGGAGUUCCCUUCUAUGUCAUUUGUUGUUUUUCCUUUGCUACUUUUAAUAUUCUCUCUUUAAUUUUUGAGAUUUUAAUUACAAUGUGUUUUAGUGUAUUCCUCUUUGGGUUAAUGCUGUAUGGGACUCUCUGUGCUUCCUGGACUUGGAUGUCUGUUUCCUUUCCCAAGUUAGGGAAGUUUUCAGCUAUUAUGUCUGAAAUAUGUUCUCAGCCCCUUUCUCUCUCUCUUCUCCUUCUGGGACCCCUAUAAUGCGAGUAUUAGUGCACUUAAUGUUGUCCCAGAGGUCUCUUAUACUGUCCUCAUUUCUUUUCCUUUUUUCUUUUAGCAUCAAUGAUUUCCACUACUCUGUCUUCCAGCUCACUGAUCCAUUUCUCUGUAUCAUUUAGUCUACUGUUGAUCCUUCUAGUGUAGUUUUAAUAUCAGUUAUUAUAAUCUUCAUCUCUGUGUGCUUAUUCUUUAUACUAUAGCUCUUUGUUAAAAACAUCUAACUUUCACUCUGUGCAUCCAUUCUUUUCCCAAGUUCUCUGAUCAUCUUUUCAAUCACUACCCUGAACUCUUUCUUGGGUAUUUGCCUAUCUCCACUUCACUUAGUUCUUCUUGUGGCAUUUUAUCUUGUUCCUUCAUCUAGAACAUGUUCCUCUGUUGCCUCAUUUUGCCCAAGUUGCUGUUUGUAUUUUCAUGUUUCUGGUGGGUUGGUUAUGUUUCCCAACCUUGGAGAAGUGGCCUAUGUGUCCCAGCAGUGGGGUCCCCUCUCAUCACCCAAAUGAUAUGCUCUGGUGAUUCCCUGCUAGGAGGGCUGUGUGGGUCCUUCUGUUGUGGUGAGAGCUAACUAUGUGGGCCAUCUGGUAGGCUUGGUUGGCCCCUGUUCAGGUUAGUUGCUAACCUUGCCCUGUGGAGAGGCUGCUGGACCAGGUCACAAGGUGGCUGACUGCAGAACCCCAGGGGCCCCAGGGAUAAUGCUGGCUCAUUCGUGGGUAGAGUCAGGGUCUAGAAGACUCCAAGGCUGUUGCCCACCCUAUGGUGGGUGAAGCCAAGUCCUGGGGUUAGUGCUGGUCUACUGGCAGGCAGAGUCAGGUGCUGGAGUCUGGAUACAAGGCCAGUGGUCCCAGGGCUAUUGUCAGAUCGCUGGAGGGAAGGGGGAGGGGCUAUUUCUGCCACAUUUGGGUAUGGGGUCUGGGAUGUCCCAAAGCUUGUGUUGGCCUGCUAGUGGGGAGGGCCAGGACCCAGGCCCAGAUAGUCCCAGGACAUGGUCUGGCCUACAGCCUGCAGGAUUGUGUUUUUCUUGCUUCUGGUGUCUGCCUGCUGGUGGGUGAGGCUGGUCCAGAGGCUAGAACUAGCUCCCUGGACAGCAGGGCCAGGGUAGGGCUGGGUCUUGGGGCUAAAAACUAGAGAGAAGAUUCCACAACAGCCUUUGCCAGCACCAAUGUCCACGUGGUAGAAGGAACUCCCAAGAAUGGCUGCAGCCAGUGUCUAUGUUCCCAGGGUGAGCUGCAGCUGCCUCCUGCCACUUUGGGAGAUUCUCCAAGAUCAGCAGUUGUAGAAGAUUUCUCCUGGAAGAUUCCGGUCUUUUUCAUCAAAGGUUAUUCUGCAAAUAGUUGUGAUCUUGGUGUGCCCAUGAAAGAAGGUAAGUUCAGGGUCUUUCCAUUCUGCCAUCUUGGCCAAUCUCCUCCAGGAUGAAUUUUUAAAAGAAUAUUGAGUCUCUUGCAGAAUUACAAAGAGGGCUAGAGCUAUACAGCCAGAAACAAUGAAUGCGUGAAAUCACCAUAUCAUUUUGGCCAGAAGAUAGUUGCUGUCCUUGAAGCUCUCAAUGCUGACCUUCUGACUGACCCCCACGAACACUGGACACUGUUCCCUACCACUGCCAGACUUUCUCACAGUUCCCCCAUCUUUUGGUCAGUUGCUCCCAAUCCACAGUCCCCUCCCAUUUGAAGUGAAACAUGUUGUUAUGCCCACAAGAGAGUAUAGGAAAGCACCUAACAGGCAUUUCAACUGUGGCAGGAGGUGAGUGCUGCCCUCUACGAAGACCCAUGAGGUGGAGAUUUCCCCAAACAUAGAAAGGGGAUUGAGGCCAUGGCUGCCCCAAAAGAAUAACAUAUCUUCUGCCAGGUUUUAGACCCAUGCUGAUUCAUCUUUAAUAAACACCUGGAGCCAAAUGCACAUUCCAGUUGAGAGGGCCGGAAGGAGAGGGCUCAGCUUAGCCACACUGGAGCCUGGAGCAAAAGGAAAAAUCAGUAAUACUGACCCUAUCUUUAGUUAAAAUUUUGAUAUUUGUUCAUCAUGGAAUUUGUAUUAAUCUUGACUUUUUAAAAUAUUGCAUUAA